UCCCUGUAUUUUUUUUCCUUCACUCCAGAAGUGAGAAUUAUACCACAUUGAGAAGAUAUGAAUGCAUAUCCUAAAAAAAGAAAAAGGAAGACUUUACACCCUUCUCGUUAUUCAGACUCCUCUGGAAUAAGCAGAAUUGCAGAUGGAUUCAAUGGAAUUUUUUCUGAUCAUUGUUAUAGUGUCUGUUCUAUGAGAAAGUCAGACUUAAAAUAUUUUGACAACGAAGAUGAUGAUUCUGAUACUGAGAUGUCAAAUGACUUGCCUAAAUUUACAGAUGGAACCAAGGCCACAAACAGAAAUCAGAACUACUUGGUUCCUAGUCCAGUGCUUAGAAUUCUAGACCAGACUGCCUUCCCUACAGAAAAAUCUGCCAAUGUUGAAAUUUUUGAUGAAGAGUGUGACUCACCUAAAUCAAUCAAUCAACAAACCCAAGAGGAGAGUCCUAUAGAAGUUCACACAGCUGAAGAUGUUCCAGUUGCUGUAGAAGUACAUGCAAUUUCUGAGGACUAUGAUAUAGAGACAGAAAAAAAUUCCUCUGAGAGUCUCCAGGAUCAAACUGAUGAAGAGCCACCAGCUAAACUUUGUAAAAUUAUUGACAAUCGCCAGGCUUUGAAUGUGACUGCUCAGGAGAAAUGGCCUUUACUGAGAGCUAAUAAUAGUGGACUCUAUAAAUGUGAAUUUUGCGAGUUCAACAGCAAAUAUUUUUCCGAUUUAAAGCAGCAUAUGAUUCUGAAGCAUAAAUGUACUGAUUCAAAUGUGUGUCGAGUAUGCAAGGAAAGUUUCUCUACCAACAUGCUUCUGAUAGAACAUGCCAAACUACAUGAAGAGGAUCCCUACAUUUGUAAAUACUGUGACUAUAAGACAGUAAUUUUUGAGAACCUAAGCCAGCACAUGGCAGACACUCAUUUUAGUGAUCACCUCUACUGGUGUGAACAGUGUGAUGUUCACUUCUCUUCAAGUAGUGAACUCUACCUACAUUUCCAGGAGCACAGCUGUGAUGAGCAGUAUUUGUGUCAGUUUUGUGAAUAUGAAACUAAUGACCCAGAAGAUUUGCAUAGCCAUGUGGUAAAUGAGCAUGCAUGUAAAUUAAUAGAAUUAAGUGACAAGUAUAACAGUGGAGAACAUGGACAGUUUAGCCUCUUUAGCAAAAUUACCUUUGACAAAUGUAAAAACUUCUUUGUAUGUCAAGUAUGUGGUUUUCGGAGUAGACUUCAUACCAAUGUUAAUAGGCAUGUGGCUAUUGAACAUACUAAAAUUUUUCCUCAUGUUUGUGAUGGCUGUGGUAAAGGCUUUUCAAGUAUGCUAGAAUAUUGCAAGCAUCUAAAUUCACAUUUAUCUGAAGGGAUUUAUUUAUGUCAAUAUUGUGAAUAUUCAACAGGACAAAUUGAAGGUCUUAAAAUUCAUCUAGAUUUCAAGCAUUCAGCUGACUUACCUCAUAAAUGUAGUGACUGCUUGAUGAGGUUUGGGAAUGAAAGGGAGUUAAUAAGUCACCUUCCAGUCCAUGAGACCACAUGAUUAUUCUCUUUAUUUAAAUUUACAGAAUGUUAAUGUAAAAUAAUAAAUUCAGCUUUUUUUGGCUAUGUUAAAAUGAAUGAUUUUAAACAAACUUUAAAAAUUUGCCUUUAACAUUGUCCAGUUUUCUUGACAUUGCUCCAUUUUUCAGUAUAUAAUUGUAUCUUAAAUGUGGUAUUUUCAAUUCCACGAUAGUUCAUGGUUUUAAUCAUUCUUGAUGACUGUCAUCCUGUUUCUUAUAUGUGCUCUAAUUUCAUGAAUUGACAAACAGGUACUGAAGAAAGAGCUACAGUUCUCCAUCCUUAACCAUAGGUGCUACUUUUUUUUUUUUGAGGAGGAGGAGGAGGACAAGCUUAGAUUUUAAUGUAUAAAGUCAUUAAAUUAUUGUACUACCAGAACUAAAAUGCAAUAUAAUAUACAAUUAAAUCCACUGAUAAUCCCAUUAGU